CAGGGCAGGUCUUUCUGAUCCUCACAGGCCAAUUGCUAGUUUCAUGUUUAUGGGUCCAACCGGAGUUGGUAAAACGGAAUUGGCUAAAGCUCUCGCUUCCUACAUGUUUAAUACCGAAGAAGCUCUGGUGAGAAUCGACAUGAGUGAAUAUAUGGAAAAACAUGCGGUUUCUAGGCUAAUUGGGGCACCACCUGGUUAUGUCGGAUAUGAAGAAGGUGGACAAUUAACAGAGACUGUUCGGAGAAGGCCUUAUGCAGUUAUCUUAUUCGACGAGAUUGAGAAGGCACAUUC
rnacentral:lncRNA from 1 species